GACGAACGCUGGCGGCGUGCCUAACACAUGCAAGUCGAACGUGAAAGUCCUUCGGGAUGAGUAAAGUGGCGCACGGGUGAGUAACACGUAGGUGACCUACCUUUUAGUAGGGGAAGUAACCAGAUGAAAAUUUAGGCUAAUGCCGCAUACGAAGUACAAAUAUAAUAGUAGUACUUGAAGAAUGCCUCUGUAUAUGCAUUCACUAUUAGAUGGGCCUGCGGGACAUUAGCUAGUUGGUGAGGUAAAGGCUCACCAAGGCGACGAUCCGUAGCUGGUCUGAGAGGAUGAUCAGCCACACUGGGACUGAGACACGGCCCAGACUCCUACGGGAGGCAGCAGUGGGGAAUAUUGGACAAUGGGCGAAAGCCUGAUCCAGCAAUGCCGCGUGAGUGAUGAAGGCCUUAGGUUGUAAGCUCUUUUACCCGGGUAUGAUAAUGACAGUACCGGGAGAA
rnacentral:rRNA from 1 species